rnacentral:rRNA from 1 species
AGUGGUGUAAUGGACCACCUAGCCUCAGACGGGUACGGGCCCUGGGAGGGGUAGCCCGGAGAUGGACUCUGAGACAUAAGUCCAGGCCCUACGGGGCGCAGCAGGCGCGAACACUGUGCAAUGCGCG